rnacentral:tRNA from 2 species
GCCGCGGUGGCGGAAUUGGCUAUACGCGUAUGCCUUAGGAGCAUAUUCCCAAAAGGAUUGUGGGUUCGACUCCCACCCGCGGCA